UAGAGUAGUCAUCACCAAAUGCAAACAGAAGCUAUGGAAAUCUACAAAAUCAAAUUUGAAAAAGCACAUAAAGACGACAAACAAAUGUAAAACAAUUAGUGCAUACCUUAAGACAGCAAGGAACAAAUGUAAAAGGCUCGUAAUACUUAAGUCUAGAAGUGCGUGAGUAAUAGCACAGAACGCAAAAGUACAUAACUACCAAAGCAGCAUGAGUAUCUUUUUGGUUUUCCACCAUCGUCAACAACAAAAUUUGCUGUAUAAAGUUUACUUCUUAGCCCACAGAAGAACCUCUAUAGAUCUAGAGAACAUUUAUGUUUUAGAGGGCAGC
rnacentral:lncRNA from 1 species